rnacentral:rRNA from 1 species
GUCCUAGCAGUAAACGAUGGAUACUAGGUGUGGGGGGUGUUGACCCCUCCUGUGCCGAAGCUAACGCAUUAAGUAUCCCGCCUGGGGAGUACGGUCGCAAGACUAAAACUCAAAGGAAUUGACGGGGACCCGCACAAGCAGCGGAGCGUGUGGUUUAAUUCGAUGCAACGCGAAGAACCUUACCUAGGCUUGACAUACACUCGCAACCUCUCGAAAGAGGGGCCUCCUUCGGGACGGGUGUACAGAUGCUGCAUGGCUGUCGU